CAGUAGCCGCGGGAAUACGUAGGGUGCAAGCGUUAAUCGGAAUUACUGGGCGUAAAGCGUGCGCAGGCGGUUAUAUAAGACAGAUGUGAAAUCCCCGGGCUCAACCUGGGAACCGCAUUUGUGACUGUAUAGCUAGAGUACGGCAGAGGGGGAUGGAAUUCCGCGUGUAGCAGUGAAAUGCGUAGAUAUGCGGAGGAACACCGAUGGCGAAGGCAAUCCCCUGGGCCUGUACUGACGCUCAUGCACGAAAGCGUGGGGAGCAAACAGGAUUAGAUACCCGCGUAGUCCCUGUCUCUUAUAA
rnacentral:rRNA from 1 species